rnacentral:lncRNA from 1 species
UUUUAUAAUAUCUACGAAGGAACAUUUCAGAGCACACUGAGGCCUGUAGUGUAAAACCAAAUAUCCUGCAAUAAAAAGUACAAACAAGCUAUCUGUUGAAAUGCCUUGAAAUGUGUGGAUUCAUCUCAUCGAAUGGAACAUGCGUUUUUACUCAUCAGGUUGGAAACACUCUCUUUGUAAAAUCAACAAAGAAGCAUUUCUGAGACCAUUGAGGCCUAUUGUAAAAAAUUGAAUAUACCAUGAUGAAAACUACAAACAAGCUAUCUGUGGAAAGGCUUCGCAAUAUGUGGGUUCAUGUCUCAGAAUUAAACCUUUAUUUUGAUUCAACAAGUUAAAAACUAUUUUGUAGAAUCUACAAAGGGACGUUUCAGAGCCUAUUGAGGCCUAUAGUAAAAAAACAAAUAUCCCGUGAUAAAAUCUAGACGCAAGCUAUCUGUGAAAAUGCAUUGGGAUGUGUGGAUUCAUCUCACAGAGUUAAACCAUUGCUUUGAUUCAACAGGUUGGGAACACUGUUUUUGUAGAAUCUACGUAGGGACAUUUCUAAUCCAAUAGAAGCCUAUAGUGAAACACCAAAUAUCCCACCUAAAAAAACUGAAAACAAGCUAUCUGUGAAAAUGCUUUGCAAUGUUUGGAUUCAUCUCACAGAGUUAAACUUUGUUUUGAUUUAACUGCUUGGAAACACCCUUUUUGUAGAAUCUAUGAAGGGAUAUUUUUGACCCCAUGAAGGCCUAUUGUGAAAAACAAAAUUUUCAAUAAUAAAAACUAGAAACAAGCUAUCUGUGAAAAUGCUCUGUGAUUUGUGGAUCCAUCUCACAGAAUUAAACCUUUAUUUUUAUUCAACAGUUCG